UACAGAGGGUGCGAGCGUUAAUCGGAAUUACUGGGCGUAAAGCGCACGUAGGUGGCGACGUAAGUCGGGUGUGAAAGCCCCGGGCUCAACCUGGGAAUUGCAUUCGAGACUGCAUUGCUGGAGUACGGAAGAGGAGGGCGGAAUUCCCGGUGUAGCGGUGUAAUGCGUAGAUAUAGGGAGGAACAUCAAUGGCGAAGGCGGCCCUCUGGUCCAGUACUGACUCUCAAGUGCGAAAGCGUGGGUAGCAAACAGG
rnacentral:rRNA from 1 species